AGCUUUGUACAGUGGCAGUAUCAUAGCCAAUGCGGUUUAUCUGAGGCAUGAUUAUUGCUAAUUGAAAACUUUUCCCAGCACCUUGCCAUGACAACUAACAAUAUAGUCGGCAUUGGCAAUUUUCAACAGUCCCGUUGGGGA
rnacentral:snRNA from 1 species